rnacentral:rRNA from 1 species
AUUGAACGCUGGCGGCAUGCUUUACACAUGCAAGUCGAACGGUAACAGGCCGCAAGGUGCUGACGAGUGGCGAACGGGUGAGUAAUGCAUCGGAACGUGCCCAGUCGUGGGGGAUAACGCAGCGAAAGCUGCGCUAAUACCGCAUACGAUCUAUGGAUGAAAGCGGGGGACCGUAAGGCCUCGCGCGAUUGGAGCGGCCGAUGUCAGAUUAGGUAGUUGGUGGGGUAAAGGCUCACCAAGCCGACGAUCUGUAGCUGGUCUGAGAGGACGACCAGCCACACUGGGACUGAGACACGGCCCAGACUCCUACGGGAGGCAGCAGUGGGGAAUUUUGGACAAUGGGGGCAACCCUGAUCCAGCAAUGCCGCGUGCAGGAAGAAGGCCUUCGGGUUGUAAACUGCUUUUGUACGGAACGAAACGGCCCUGGUUAAUACCCGGGGCUAAUGACGGUACCGUAAGAAUAAGCACCGGCUAACUACGUGCCAGCAGCCGCCGUAAAAC